GGACACGGACAGGAUUGACAGAUUGAUAGCUCUUUCUCAAUUCCGUGGUGGUGCAUGGACAUUCUUGGUGGAGUGAUUUGUCUGGUUAUUUCCGAUAAUGAACUACUGUUAGUGUGUGGUUAAUUUCCUGAUUUUCUCCAUCCAGAAACUGGAGCUAAUAUCUGAUAGCUGCUAAUAAACAGUUUCCAUAUAUCUGGAAUGCCAGUAUAC
rnacentral:ncRNA from 1 species